UACGUAGGGUGCAAGCGUUGUCCGGAAUUAUUGGGCGUAAAGAGCUCGUAGGCGGUCUGUUGCGUCGGCUGUGAAAACCCGGGGCUCAACUCCGGGCCUGCAGCCGAUACGGGCAGACUAGAGUUCGGCAGGGGAGACUGGAAUUCCUGGUGUAGCGGUGAAAUGCGCAGAUAUCAGGAGGAACACCGGUGGUGUAAACGGCUUUCUGGACCAUAACUGACGCUGAGGCACGAAAGCGUGGGUAGCAAACAGG
rnacentral:rRNA from 1 species